rnacentral:misc_RNA from 1 species
UUAAUUUAUUUGUUUUUUAGACUCAGAGUAUUGCCACUAUUAGGAAACAAGAGUUUGUGGUCCUCCGGCGGGCGCCUGGUUCCGGUCCGCCCGCGAGGGGCGACCGGGGCGGUCCCGCCGAAGCAACGUCGAGGUAUGUUCACAGGGGUUUGGGAGUUGAAAACUCGGUAAUGAUCCCUCCGCUGGUUCACCAACGGAGA